GUUUCCUCCUCCGCCCGCCUCCCUCCCUCCCUCCCUCCCUCCGCGGAGUAAUUCCGUCGAGCGCCCCGCGCGCACGCCCCCACCCGCACCGCCCGCGGCCUUGUCCGAUCGAAUGCCGUAGGUCCGGAGCGGAAGAGCGCGCGCGGGCGGUGGCUGCCAUGGCUUCUCUCCGCCCCAUAUCCGCCGCGCCCUUCCCGCGGCCGCGAGGGGCAAUGCCUACGGCUGCGGCUGCGCGGCUCUACCCGCCGCGGCCGGGGCUCGCGCGAGGCUCCGGGCGCGGUGGAGGAGCCCCGUGCGCGCCAAGGUCGACGAGGCGGACAAGGACGCGGGCGCCGGGCUGGGGCGCCGCGCGCCUGGCCGCAGGAGGCCGCGCCUGCGCCUGCGCCUGCGGCCGCGGCUGCGCCUUCUGUGGUGGCGGCUCCGGAGGCUGUCGCCGCGGGACCGAGACUGAUGGCGCAGCCGCGGCGGCGCCCAAGUGGCCGUACUACGCGCGGAGGGUGCCGCACGACGAGGGGUUCCUGCUCGGGCUUAUGCGGGAGGGCGGGGUGGACUACCGGUCGGCGCCGCGGCUUGCGGGGAGGCUGCUGGUGGACAUGCUGAGCACGCUGCUCACGCUCUGGGUCUCGCUGCUGCCGAUGAUGUGGUUCAUACAGCGGCAGAUCUCUGGUGGGGGCAGUGCUGACAAGCGACGCAAGCCGAGGAAGCAGAGGGUGGGGUUUGACGAUGUUCAGGGCGUGGAUGAAGCGAAGGAGGAGCUUGUGGAGAUAGUGAGCUGUUUGCGUGGUUCAUUGAACUACAAGAAGCUUGGAGCAAAACUGCCCAGGGGUGUUCUGCUUGUUGCCCCCCCAGGAACUGGGAAGACUCUGCUAGCAAGGGCAGUUGCAGGAGAGGCUGGAAUUCCAUUUUUCUCUGUUUCUGCUAGUGAGUUUGUUGAAGUUUUUGUUGGAAGAGGUGCUGCUCGGGUCAGGGAUUUGUUCAAGGAGGCCAAAGAAGCUGCUCCGUCAAUCAUUUUUAUUGAUGAACUUGAUGCCGUGGGUGGAAGUAGAGGUAGAAGUUUUAAUGAUGAGAGGGACCAAACUCAACCAGCUGCUUACUGAAAUGGAUGGUUUUGACUCGGACAUGAAAGUAAUUGUCAUGGCUGCUACUAACAGGCCAAAAGCACUGGAUGCUGCUCUUUGUCGGCCUGGCCGCUUCUCCAGAAAGGUGGUUGUUGGUGUACCUGAUGUGGAGGGCCGCAAAAGGAUCUUGGCUGUUCAUCUAAGGGAUAUUCCUUUGGAAAAGGAUCCUGAAAUAAUUAGUGAUCUGGUUGCUAAUGUAACCCCAGGACUGGUUGGAGCAGAUCUAGCAAACAUUGUUAAUGAGGCUGCUCUACUAGCUGCACGAAGAGGUGGGAAUACUGUAUCCCGGGAGGAUAUUAUGGAUGCAAUUGAGAGGGAGAAAUACGGGGUCAAUGGUAGACAAGAAACUGAUGAUUCUGAAAGGCAAGGCCUCACCAAAUUAUUUCCAUGGCUACCUAAGCCUGGAAAUAAACCAUCAGGCCCUGAUGAUUUCCGAGGACUGAUGGGUUAUCAGACAUUAAGCUAACUUAGCAGCCUUUUGAAGGUAUGCUCAGAUUUGAGCCCUUUCUGUGGGUUGAUGAUUUUUGUCACCACGUUCGUAUUCCUCGUAUUCUUGAUGUUCCUUAACAGCGUCGCUUUGAACAAACUACAUUUAAGGAAUCAAUGUAAACUGUACUCAUAUUGUGCUUGACAAAAUGGACAAUAUUUUGGACCUUUUUUUGAAA